rnacentral:rRNA from 1 species
UGGCGCAUACAAAGAGAAGCGACCUCGCGAGAGCAAGCGGACCUCAUAAAGUGCGUCGUAGUCCGGAUUGGAGUCUGCAACUCGACUCCAUGAAGUCGGAAUCGCUAGUAAUCGUGGAUCAGAAUGCCACGGUGAAUACGUUCCCGGGCCUUGUACACACCGCCCGUCACACCAUGGGAGUGGGUUGCAAAAAGAAGUAGGUAGCUUAACCUUCGGGAGGGCGCUUACCACUUUGUGAUUCAUGACUGGGGUGAAGUCGUAACAAGGUAACCGUAGGGGAACCUGCGGUUGGAUCACCUCCUUACCUUAAAGAAGC